rnacentral:snRNA from 1 species
AUACUUACCUGGCGGGGGAGAUACCAUGAUCAUGAAGGUGGUUUUCCCAGGGUGAGGCUCAUCCAUUGCACUCUGGAUGUGCUGACCCCUGCAAUUUCCCCAAAUGUGGGAAACUCAACUGCAUAAUUUGUGGUAGUGGGGGACUGCGUUCGCGCUCUCCCCUG